GACGAACGCUGGCGGCGUGCUUAACACAUGCAAGUCGAGCGGUAAGGCCCUUUCGGGGGUACACGAGCGGCGAACGGGUGAGUAACACGUGGGUGACCUGCCCUCAGCUCUGGGAUAAGCCUGGGAAACCGGGUCUAAUACUGGAUAUGACUCCAUGACGCAUGUUGUGGGGUGGAAAGCCUUGUGCGGCUGAGGAUGGGCCCGCGGCCUAUCAGCCUGUUGGUGGGGUGAGGCCUACCAAGGCGACGACGGGUAGCCGGCCUGAGAGGGCGACCGGCCACACUGGGACUGAGACACGGCCCAGACUCCUACGGGAGGCAGCAGUGGGGAAUCUUGCGCAAUGGGCGAAAGCCUGACGCAGCGACGCCGCGUGAGGGAUGACGGCCUGGU
rnacentral:rRNA from 1 species